rnacentral:rRNA from 1 species
CCUACGGGAGGCAGCAGUGGGGGAUAUUGCACAAUGGGGGAAACCCUGAUGCAGCGACGCCGCGUGAGUGAAGAAGUAUUUCAGUAUGUAAAGCUCUAUCAGCAGGGAAGAAAAUGACAGUACUUGACCAAGAAGCACCGGCUAACUACGUGCCAGCAGCCGUGGUAAGACGUAGGGGGCAAGCGUUAUCCGGAUUUACUGGGUGUAAAGGGAGCGUAGACGGUUAUGUAAGUCUGGCGUUAAAGCCCGGGGCCCAACACCGGGACUGCUUUGGAAACUGUGUAACUGGAGUACAGGAGGGGCAGGCGGAAUUCCUGGUGUAGCGGUGAAAUGCGUAGAUAUCAGGAAGAACCCCGGCGGCGAAGGCAGCCUGCUGGACUAAAACUGACGUUGAGGCUCGAAAGCGUGGGGAGCAAACAGGAUUAGAUACCCCUGUAGUC